UGGGUUGCUAACUCAACGGUAGAGUACUCGGCUUUUAAGAUCCGACUAGUUCCGGGUUCGAAUCCCGGGCAACCCAUU
rnacentral:tRNA from 7 species